ensembl:lncRNA
CGGGGCGGAGCUUGGGCGGGACGUGGGCGGGGCCUGGGCGGAAGCGGCGCGCCGUGGCGGAAGGGGCGGGGCCCGCGGGCUACCGGGGGCGGGGCCGUCGCCGCCGUCGUCCGGGGUCGGAGCGGAAGGGCGCGCUGAGGGGAGAGCGCGGAGCCCAGGCAGCGGGGUCGUCGCGCGCUCGCCGAGCCCGUUCUCGAGGGGGGCGGCGGAGGGCGGCCUCCUGCCCGCGGCAAGGGGGCGCUUCCCUGAGGAGAAGUUUUCCAAUGGACAGGACUUAAACCACCAGUUCCACUUGGAGUUUAUCCCAAAUAAGUCGUCAGAGCUGUGACUGAAGAUAGAUGAUCUUGGGGAAAAAGAAUAUCCUAAGUGUCUAGCAAAAGUAUAAGGAAUUGUUGAUAGGUGCCUUUCCGGUUAGGAAUGUCUAUGCAGGAAGCACUUAAAAAAAAAAAAUCCAUGUGAGAAACGGCAAUAUGUUUGUGUCCAGAAAAAAGGACUCCCGAUAAGCAUUUGCCUUUGGUAUUCCCAGUGAGCUAUUAGUUGAAAAUACUCCAGACUUAACUAAUAUCCAUUGGGAUUAUGCGUUUUUAAUUUUCCUUGUACUUUUCAGUUUUCUUUACUGACCCUGUGUCACAGGAAUCAGAUGAAGAAAAACCUUUUUCAGUCCAACCUAUAUAUCAAUUGCUAUUUUGUUCAUAGAAUGAUGAGGGUUGAUCCUGCAUCACACAGAAUUAAGGUAUAUAACAGAAUGGUGAUGAAAUGUAAGCUUUUUUGUAUUAACUUCAAAUGCAUCUUCUGGAAUUACCAAACUCUGUGCCUACUUAAAGAAUUCUAUAGUUCAGAGGCAUUAAAAAUGUCCAAACCAUGGCAUUUUCUCUUUUUCCCACAACAGCACAACGUUUGGAUUCUUGACAGAGCAUAUAAAACAAACUGCUUAUUGUCUGGUGUUUGGGAACAUGACCUGAUAGCUUUCCAUUUCAUCAUGAGUCAUACUGGGAUUUUCUCCUCUGUUGUACCCGGAGGACGAUUCCAUCCACAUCAGCACUGCACCUGCUCCUAGACGCCCUGGAACAUUCAGCUGCCGUUGCGGUGCAGCUGGAGUCAGACUUGCCACCUGCACGGCCAAGUGCAGGACCCCCAGGAGCACCACCGGACCCAUCUCUUACACAGGCUGACCGAUUUCUCCUGGUGUUCAGAGUCUGUUUUUGUCUAGCACCAUUUGACAUCGGUUAUGAUGUAGGGGGAAAAGCAGCAGCCUCGAAGCCUCAUGCCAACUCUGGUGAGCGGCCGCCUGUGGUUUCUUGGAAGAAGGCUGGGCAGAGAGUGGGGAAGGACGAUCUGGCACUCUGUUCACUAACUUCUUCAGCUGCAUCUAUGAUACCUUAUUGCAGAGGUAAGAGAGAACAUAAUGUAUUUUUUAAAAAGCAAGUGGCUACAAUGUAUCUGAUGUCCUGGGUUGCAUUUGGCUGAAAUGUGGUGCUGUAUGUGCUAUAAAUGGUGCUGUUGGAUUAUCUUUCUGUGCAGAGUCUAUUCCUACAUCCUGACUUGAAUAAAUAUUUUACUCUAAUCA